GACGAACGCUGGCGGCGUGCUUAACACAUGCAAGUCGAACGGAAAGGCCCUGCUUUUGUGGGGUGCUCGAGUGGCGAACGGGUGAGUAACACGUGAGUAACCUGCCCUUGACUUUGGGAUAACUUCAGGAAACUGGGGCUAAUACCGGAUAGGAGCUCCUGCUGCAUGGUGGGGGUUGGAAAGUUUCGGCGGUUGGGGAUGGACUCGCGGCUUAUCAGCUUGUUGGUGGGGUAGUGGCUUACCAAGGCUUUGACGGGUAGCCGGCCUGAGAGGGUGACCGGCCACAUUGCUCCUGAGAUACGGCCCAGACUCCUACGGGAGGCAGCAGUGGGGAAUAUUGCACAAUGGGCGGAAGCCUGAUGCAGCAACGCCGCGUGCGUGAUGACGGCCUUCGGGUUGUAAACCGCUUUCGCCUGUGACGAAGCGUGAGUGACGGUAAUGGGUAAAGAAGCACCGGCUAACUACGUG
rnacentral:rRNA from 1 species